GCUCCCUUAGCAAUCUGGUGAAUGCACCGAACUCAUAAUUCGGCUGAGGUGAGUUCGAUCCUCACAGGGAGCAC
rnacentral:tRNA from 1 species